UGUUUCAUGGCUCAAUGGUAGAGCGCUGGACUAGAGUACUCCAUACCUUGGGUUCGAAUCCCAUUCAGGCGA
rnacentral:tRNA from 1 species